rnacentral:rRNA from 1 species
CUGGCUCAGGAUGAACGCUAGCUACAGGCUUAACACAUGCAAGGUCGAGGGGCAGCAUUGGGAUAGCUUGCUAUUCAGAUGGCGACCGGCGCACGGGUGAGUAACGCGUAUCCAACCUUCCUGCCAGUAGGGAACAGCCCGGCGAAAGUCGGAUUAAUGCCCUAUGUUCUUCAAUGCGGACAUCUAAGUUGAAGGAAAGAUUCAUCGCUGGCAGAUGGGGAUGCGUCCGAUUAGCUUGCCGGCGGGUAACGGCCCACCGGGGCGACGAUCGGUAGGGGUUCUGAGAGGAAGGUCCCCCACACUGGUACUGAGACACGGACCAGACUCCUACGGGAGGCAGCAGUGAGGAAUAUUGGUCAAUGGGCGUAAGCCUGAACCAGCCAAGUAGCGUGCAGGAUGACGGCCCUACGGGCUGUAAACUGCUUUUAUGCGGGGAUAAAGUGCGGCACGUGUGCCGCUUUGCAGGUACCGCAUGAAUAAGGACCGGCUAAUUCCGUGCCAGCAGCGGC